GAUGAAGAACGUAGCGAAAUGCGAUAAGUAAUGUGAAUUGCAGAAUUCAGUGAAUCAUCGAAUCUUUGAACGCACAUUGCGCCCGCCAGUAUUCUGGCGGGCAUGCCUGUUCGAGCGUCAUUUCAACCAUCAAGCCCCAGGCUUGUGUUGGGGACCUGCGGCUGCCGCAGGCCCUGAAAACCAGUGGCGGGCUCGCUGUCACACCGGGCGUAGUAGAUUUUAUCUCGCUCAGGGCGUGCUGCGGGUUCCGGCCGUUAAAAAGCCUUUUUUACCCAAGGUUGACCUCGGAUCAGGUAGAAAGACCCGCUGAACUUAAGCAUAUCAAUAAGCGGAGGA
rnacentral:misc_RNA from 1 species